AGCUUGCUGGAUGCUGACGAGCGGCGGACGGGUGAGUAAUGCAUAGGAAUCUACCCAGUAGUGGGGGAUAACCUGGGGAAACCCAGGCUAAUACCGCAUACGUCCUACGGGAGAAAGGGGGCUUUGGCUCCCGCUAUCGGAUGAGCCUAUGCCGGAUUAGCUGGUUGGUGAGGUAACGGCUCACCAAGGCGACGAUCCGUAGCUGGUCUGAGAGGAUGAUCAGCCACAUCGGGACUGAGACACGGCCCGAACUCCUACGGGAGGCAGCAGUGGGGAAUAUUGGACAAUGGGGGCAACCCUGAUCCAGCCAUGCCGCGUGUGUGAAGAAGGCCCUCGGGUUGUAAAGCACUUUCAGCGAGGAAGAACGCCUGGUGGUUAAUACCCGCCAGGAAAGACAUCACUCGCAGAAGAAGCACCGGCUAACUCCGUGCCAGCAGCCGCGGUAAUACGGAGGGUGCAAGCGUUAAUCGGAAUUACUGGGCGUAAAGCGCGCGUAGGUGGCUUGAUAAGCCGGUUGUGAAAGCCCCGGGCUCAACCUGGGAACGGCAUCCGGAACUAUCAGGCUAGAGUGCAGGAGAGGAAGGUAGAAUUCCCGGUGUAGCGGUGAAAUGCGUAGAGAUCGGGAGGAAUACCAGUGGCGAAGGCGGCCUUCUGGACUGACACUGACACUGAGGUGCGAAAGCGUGGGUAGCAAACAGGAUUAGAUACCCUGGUAGUCCACGCCGUAAACGAUGUCGACCAGCCGUUGGGUGCCUAGCGCACUUUGUGGCGAAGUUAACGCGAUAAGUCGACCGCCUGGGGAGUACGGCCGCAAGGUUAAAACUCAAAUGAAUUGACGGGGGCCCGCACAAGCGGUGGAGCAUGUGGUUUAAUUCGAUGCAACGCGAAGAACCUUACCUACCCUUGACAUCCUGCGAACUUGGUAGA
rnacentral:rRNA from 1 species